AGCACCUUGGCGCAGCGGAAGCGCGCCGGGCUCAUAACCCGGAGGUCCUCCGAUCGAAACGGAGAGGUGCUA
rnacentral:tRNA from 8 species